GCCUUGGUAGUGUAAUGGAUCAGCAUGCAGACGGGACAUCUGUAAGUGCGGGUUCGAGUCCCGCCUGAGGUU
rnacentral:tRNA from 1 species